rnacentral:piRNA from 1 species
CCAAGUUGUUUCUUUAGACUGACCUGU